AGAGUUUGAUCAUGGCUCAGGACGAACGCUGGCGGCGUGCCUAAUACAUGCAAGUAGAACGCUGAAGAAAGGAGCUUGCUUCUUUGGAUGAGUUGCGAACGGGUGAGUAACGCGUAGGUAACCUGCCUUGUAGCGGGGGAUAACUAUUGGAAACGAUAGCUAAUACCGCAUGACAGCUUUUGACACAUGUUAGAAGCUUGAAAGAUGCAAUUGCAUCACUACGAGAUGGACCUGCGUUGUAUUAGCUAGUAGGUAGGGUAACGGCCUACCUAGGCGACGAUACAUAGCCGACCUGAGAGGGUGAUCGGCCACACUGGGACUGAGACACGGCCCAGACUCCUACGGGAGGCAGCAGUAGGGAAUCUUCGGCAAUGGGGGCAACCCUGACCGAGCAACGCCGCGUGAGUGAAGAAGGUUUUCGGAUCGUAAAGCUCUGUUGUAAGAGAAGAACGUGUGUGAGAGUGGAAAGUUCACACAGUGACGGUAACUUACCAGAAAGGGACGGCUAACUACGUGCCAGCAGCCGCGGUAAUACGUAGGUCCCGAGCGUUGUCCGGAUUUAUUGGGCGUAAAGCGAGCGCAGGCGGUUUAAUAAGCCUGAAGUUAAAGGCAGUGGCUUAACCAUUGUUCGCUUUGGAAACUGUUAAACUUGAGUGCAGAAGGGGAGAGUGGAAUUCCAUGUGUAGCGGUGAAAUGCGUAGAUAUAUGGAGGAACACCGGUGGCGAAAGCGGCUCUCUGGUCUGUAACUGACGCUGAGGCUCGAAAGCGUGGGGAGCAAACAGGAUUAGAUACCCUGGUAGUCCACGCCGUAAACGAUGAGUGCUAGGUGUUAGGCCCUUUCCGGGGCUUAGUGCCGCAGCUAACGCAUUAAGCACUCCGCCUGGGGAGUACGACCGCAAGGUUGAAACUCAAAGGAAUUGACGG
rnacentral:rRNA from 1 species